rnacentral:tRNA from 1 species
UCCGGCGUCGCCCAACGGCAGGGCAGCGGACUGUUAAUCCGUACGGUGGUGGUUCGAAUCCACCCGCCGGAG